rnacentral:rRNA from 1 species
ACGUACACUCCUGCGGGAGGCAGCAGUGGGGAAUAUUGGACAAUGGGCGCAAGCCUGAUCCAGCCAUGCCGCGUGAGUGAUGAAGGCCCUAGGGUUGUAAAGCUCUUUCACCGGUGAAGAUAAUGACGGUAACCGGAGAAGAAGUCCCGGCUAACUUCGUGCCAGCAGCCGCGGUAAUACGAAGGGGGCUAGCGUUGUUCGGAUUUACUGGGCGUAAAGCGCACGUAGGCGGACUAUUAAGUCAGGGGUGAAAUCCCGGGGCUCAACCCCGGAACUGCCUUUGAUACUGGUAGUCUUGAGUUCGAGAGAGGUGAGUGGAAUUCCGAGUGUAGAGGUGAAAUUCGUAGAUAUUCGGAGGAACACCAGUGGCGAAGGCGGCUCACUGGCUCGAUACUGACGCUGAGGUGCGAAAGCGUGGGGAGCAAACAGGAUUAGAUACCUUGGUAGUCCCAU